CCACCACCCAAAGCGUCGCCAAGACCUCGUAUAGGGAACCUACAGCCUAGCCACUAUACCUCACUACACUUCUUUCCAAUCGUUCCUGUAUCUUCAAGUAUCAGUUAUAAUAGUAGAUUUGAUCAAAACUAUUGGAAUUAUGUAUCGAAUACAUAGAUUCUCUUAGUUGCGAGAUUUCGUUACUAGCCUGUCCCUUUGUUACCAGUUAAGACAUCGUACAAGGGCGUCUAGGCGAUUGCCAUCAAGGUAUCACGCUUGUUUCCACAAAUUCCUACAUCUACAAAAUAACAAUUUUAGUACGUAGAUUUGUGCUAACGAUGAUCAGAAUCGAAAGUUAGAAUUCUCAGAUUAUUUAAUUAUAGAGUUCUGUAGCAGUCAAAAGCCUGUGCCAAGGCUUGCAUCUAGGAGCAAUUAUCAGGAAAUCUCGUAAAUAAUUAAAUUCACGCUUGCACAUUCUAUUUAUCCCGAUUGUUAUAUAGCACACAGUAAGCGUUUUUACGGAGCAGAUAACACAUCGAUUCGAUUCUGAUGCAAUCCCUAUAUCCUUACGACUCCGCCUAUGCAUUAUAGAUUAUGCUAUCGACCAUGAGCUUAAGGUUCAUAUAUUACGUAUUUUUCGCCGCAAAAAUUCCAGCAUAUUUAAAGCGGUCGAAAAUCCUGUCGGCCACGGUUGUACAAAUUUUCCUACGGCCAAAUUGCUGGAAAACUCGCAAGGGUGAGGAAGGAGCGUGACCGUCGCUUCGCGGAGCCCCGCAACCCCUCCACCGCGACCAACCACCACUCCCCGUGGCACCGUUCGAACCCCUAGCCUAGAGAUGCCCGUUUCUACCUCCAAACACCACAGCGCACGCUCCGACGUCGCCUCAGUGACUCUCAACUACCGUUCACCGUGUCUGCGAUAUUCUCUUCCGUCUGCACGUCGCUCCCUGGGGAAAUUUUUCGGCGAGAAGUGUGCCGUGACAGAGGGUUAAUUGGGCAAGACCAAGAAAUACUGGCCUCGCCGAGUCGAUCGUGCUUCCAUGGCGCUGCGAACGGGAUUACCGUGUCGCGAUCUAUGAUAGACGAUGGUUUAAUGGCUCUGGGGACGCUUCUUCGUGAACUGGGACAAUCCUAGGUGAAUUAAGAAUUUAGUGUUUUGCGGUGGAAUCGAAGGAGGAGGAUUGUUAGAGUACGUUCUAGAAUUUUACAUUUGACAUGGUGUUGCUGUUUGUGAACGAUAAUAUCAGGGCGAAGAUUGGUAGGAGGAUUGUCGAAGAGGAUUAAUGUAUAGGAUUUUACUUUUUUAUGCAGUGCAUUGUUGUUCGUAAGAGAAAUUUAAGGGAAGUGGGACGAUAUCGGAUGAGUUAAAAAUUUACUGUUUAGUGUUUGAGACGGUGAAAUUAUUUAUUAUACAUGUAUUAUUAAUAAAAGUAUCAUUGGUAUUUUGUACAUUAAAGAAUAAGAAAGAAGAUUCUAUCAUAGGGAUUGAUGUUUGUUAAAGGAAAUUCGAUUCGAUCCAGCAGACAAUACAGCAGGCUCCUCAGUUUCCGCAAGUGGGACAGCUAUUAUUUCCAGUAUCUAUCUUACUUUUUACAAAAAAAAAAAGACAUCGUUGCUUCUUAUACGGUGAAGAAGGAAAGUCGUUUGUCAAAGAAAAUCCAAUUUAAUCCAAACGGCAGAACAGAAAGAUCUUAAAUUUUCCAAAAGUGGAUCUACUUACAACUUACAUUUUAGUUUCUACAAGAAACGUCGUUUUACAUUAUUUAAUAAAUAGAAAUAAUCUAUCUAAUAAAUAGAAAAAUAAAUAUACAUAAAGAAAAAAAAAGAAAAAGAACGAGAUCGGUGUUCAUCAAAGAAAAUCUGCUGUACGAGCGAUCCACGAAACAGUAGAGAAGCUUCCUAAAUUUCCGGAAGUAGGACACCUACAUACAUUUCUAACCUCCAUUCUAGUCUUUCCUCUUUCAACGAACAUUGCUUAUUUAUAAAUCAUAGAAUAAACGGCGAAGGAAAGGAUUCGAUAAAGAAAAUCCGAUUAGUAUCAAGAGACCAGUAAAGAAGGUUCGUAAAAUUUUUAGACGACAAAAGGAAAGACUGAGCACGAAUGAGAACCACUGAAACGCGAUCCGUGCUACUGGGCUACGCGCCACACGGCGCUUUGGCCGACCGACCGACUCUACUCGCACACGAUCCUCCUUCUCCCUCCGCCGUUAUCCGGCUCGCACUCUCUGUCUCUCUUUAUCUGUCUCAUUUUCUACGUCUCUCUACGCUGUACCGGUUCCCUGCCUCGCUACGCCAUGCAAAUCUUCCGUCUUGCACGUUAUGAGGAACGAGCCCUGUCUCUUCUUCCGAGUUUAACCGGAGACCACGCCGCGAUCCAAGGGAUCCCGUUUCCUGUUCGUUCUUCGGGAUGAUCGAGCGGCCUGCAUUAUUCUAUGCCUUGCAUUACGGCCACGAGCUUCUAAUCAUCAGUUUUCAUCCACCAUUUCCACCAUGAAAUUUAGAAUCGGAAAAUCCGAGAAAAUUUGAAAGAGAAAGCGAUCCUGAAAUAUUUCGGCGAGAAAGUUAGGGACAAAUAACAUUGAACAUUUUAGAAAUUUGAAAGAGGAAGCCAGGCAGAUAAGAUUGAUAAUUCUUUAGAAUUUGGAUAAAAAUGCCAGACAAAUAAGGAAGGAAAACGAGGAAGCUAGAAAAGUAAAAUUGAAAAAUUGAAAAUUUUGAAGGAUAAGCGGGACAAAUGAAGUUGGGAAUUCUUGAAAAUUUGGGAGAAGGAGAUACAUAUAUAAAAUUGAAAAUCGUGUGAAAUGUCGGAAGAAAGUCAGAGAAAUAAAAUCGAAAGUGUUUGAAAAUUUGUAAAAACGCGACAAACAAAAUUUAAUAGAAAGCAUGUUAUGAAAGUUAAAAGGAAAAAGGAUAAUUCCUGAGAAGCUUAGAACAUGAGUGAACGCUUUGUUAGGAUGAUUUGAUACGAGUGGAAAUUUUCCAAAGCAAUUUGCGAACAUCCUCGCUGUAUUGCCUUCUAUUGCUCCUGUUUUCAUUAGCCUGGUCAGCAGAAGGUUUGUAAAGAUAUCGUUGAAAGAGAAGGAAUAAAGGCAGAGACGAGACACAGGGGCUGCAGACAGAUAACCACUUGACGACUCGAAUGCAACGGGGGAUGAACGACGGAGGAAAAAAGGAGAGAACAAGCGUCGUAAGCCUUUCGAUAGCUACGACUCGUCGUCCGUAGUCACAGAUCGAUACUUCAAACUGGUCUUGCAUUUCCAGAAGAAGAAUAAGAGAAACUGUUGUUCCACUUUGUUACCAUUUUACUUGUCACUUUUGUAAACUAAGAUCACGGUACGAUAUCUACGAGUUCAACAGAGCACCGGCAAGGCAAACUCUGAAGCUAUCCGAAAAUUACCAUUCAACCAGCAGAUUGACUCCAAGGGGCCACAUCUUUAACGGAUUACCGGAAAUUAAAAUUCCAAAUUCAACUGCUCUCGAAAAACCAUUCGCAUGUGUAUGUUAGGCUGCUUAAAAUUCGCAACACUGUGUGACAUUGUAGAAUGUAACUAUUGUAUAAUAUGAUGAUUAUACUUUUAUGAGGCUCGUCCUGCGCGUAAUAUGAUUUAUUCUGUUAUGGUAGGUACGUUAGAUGAAAAUAAACAAAUUAUGUGUUAACACUAAAUGAACAGCGUAUUUUUUUUUUCAUAUUUUCUGCGAUCGAAGAAUUUCAUAGAAAAAUGGUAGAACUUUUUGCGGAAACGAGAUAAGUUCGGAAAACGCUAUGUAAUAUUUGUAUCUAUGCAAAAGAUCUUGCUACGAGUUUUUUUUUUUUUUUUAAUUCUUUUAAAUAGUUAUAUCAUCAACUAUUUAUCAACCACGUGGAAGAAUAAAUUAUCGUCUGUUAUAUAUAGCCAUCGAAUAUUAACAAAAUGUAUAACAAAUGUUACGGCCUCGUUAUACGACCCAUGAAUGAGCAGAAUAUUCAUUUGAUGAUAAAAGUUGUUGAAAACGUCAAAUUAGCAUUUGAAACCAGUUACGUAAAUGUUAGAUUAGUUGAGUAGGUGAAAUUCGAAACUGGUUAUUUUUCUCCAGAAAAUGAACCGAGAAAAGAGAGAGACAGAGAGAGGAAGUUAGGAAAAUGACACCGACAAUAAUGUUUUAAGAGAUAUGUAUUACUGAAAUUAUUUUGCGAUAAACAGCCCUAGAGAACUAGCGUCUGGAAUAAAAGCGAGUUAUUCUACCGUUGUUCAACUUGACUGGAAUGAGAAAAGCAAAGAAGACGGACAAACUGCUUUCUUUAAACAGUUAAAUGAUAUACAGGAGCUCACAUGUAAACGACUAACCUCGCUACAUCAAUGAAAUGAAUAGGAUUCAUUCUCGAUAUAUAUAUAUAUAUUUAAAGAUGCAUAAGUCUGUAUUAAUUUCAGUUACAGAACAACUCUGUAUAUUCGUGAAUAUCGAAUAUGUUCUGUACAUUCUUGCACAUUUAGAAAUGUGCGAGAUAAAUCAUCAGGCGCUCUAUCGAUAGAUCAAUCGAGUCUCUCAGGAGCCAAACAGAUCAAACUUCGCUUUUUGCCCUAAUUGAUUUCCUAACUUGGUUAUAUAAAUGGGCGAUUAACGUUCCGACCCUCGAAAAACAAAUUGCAUGCACGAUCAUGUUUAUUACAAAAAGAUAAUGUAAAUAACAAGAAACUCCGAGGGAAAUAUAAAAAGAAAGAGUAUUUGCAAUAUCAUCGUAUUUUUCUGAUCUAAUAUCGUUAAUGUGGUUUCCGAGCAACUCGUUUAUUUAUCAAUUAUUAUUUCUCUUGCCAAAGGAACGAGUAGUAUCGAUCAACUGUAAACUUUUUUUUUACAAAGAAAAAUGUUAAACAUCGUGCAACAACGUCAUUCAUCGCCUUAUCGAGAAAUUAGAUAUAGAAAGCAAGCGAAGCAACGUAAUAAAAUGGAUGCAUGAAAGAAUUCGAGAAACAAAAGGAAAAGGUGGAAGAAACGAAUGCAGGAAACGAUUACGCUACUAUAGAAAAAGAGUGAUCUGCCUGCCCACAGUUAAUUUUUCUGAACGGUGCACGUGUGAGUCGAUGGCGACGCGUACCGUAGCCUCGUCCAUGCACGUGACUAUCAGCUCGUGGUACGGCCACGUACGAGCAACAUCGUGAAUAUGCGAGUGUGCGUAAUCUCAGGACGCAACGUGUACGAGAAUUCCUCCCGUACCACGCACCAUUGCUUCUGUGAACGAGCACACGUUGUCAGCUUGUUCACUUGUCUACAGAACCAUGAAGUUAGGGUAGUAGUUUAGGGCUUCCGAAAUUCUCAUCAGCUGAGACAGACAAAUGGUAACGAUACUGCGUUGUAACAUAGGCUAGGUUUCCAAAAUUCUUAUGAACUGAGUCUGGAAAGUGAUAAUUUAAUGGUAAAUUAGGACUAAUUAGUGCUU